ensembl:lncRNA
AUGCCUAGGCUUUCAAUAGCUUCUUCCAGCACCUUUUUCGUCCGGCUUUUCCCUAGGCUGUUUGCUAGUCUCUCUCUCCGGUAUUUUCCCAGUUCUUCCCGUUUCUUCCCUCCUAAGUUUGCUAUCCGUCCUAGGUUUCCUAUCCGAGCUAGGUUUCCUAUCCGAGUCAUUUCUUCCCUCCUAAGUUUCCUUAUCCGAGUCACGGCACCAUUAUGUCGCUCCCCCUCUUCGUGGAGGAGCAACACAGGACCCUGCGCUGUUCUUUCGUCUGCUUGGCCCUCCCCGGGUUUGCUGCUGGUUCUUCCCGGGUUGGCUACUAUCCCUUCCACCUCCGUGGAAGGGCAGUUCCCCCUGGCCACAUUCCCCACUUCCGCAGGGGAGCGGCACACCGCCGGCCGGCUCUUCUCGGGGGCUGCACGGGUUCCCUUAGAUGUUCCCCAUAGAUGUUCCUGGUGCAUGCCGUCUCUCUCCUCCUUUAUAGUCCUCCUCCACCAAUCCCAACUCGGCUGCCCACACGCCGAGUACGCUGCUCUCCAAUCAGGAGCAAGUCCUACAGUUAAUUGGUUGAACUGGAGGCAGCUGUGCGGAAGCUGUUUACUUCUCUCCCAGCGCCAUAUUGUGGGAGAGCAGAUGCAUAGAAUAAGUCUUAAUUCCAGUAACUCAGUCUAGUCCGGUUGCUCCCCACAGAAAAGGACAUGAGGGAGCUUGGAGAGGCUGUUUUAGAUGUAGUGAGGGAUGAGAUCAUGAGACAUCCGCUCAAGUAGCAGGUGAAAAACUUCACAUGGACUUGAAAAAAAAGUUAGUCUAUCAAGAUCACUUGCUGAGAACCUCUUGGAGACAAUAGGAUUCAAAAUUCUCCUUGAUUUUCUGUUAGCAUUUCUUUCCCUGUUCUGAGAAUUCAUAGAUAGAAAUUCAUUUAUGGUGAGGCAUUAUGGCAAACAGUAUUUACACCUGCCAAGAGAUUGAAUUUAUGAGAAAAAUAGUGGGCAAUCCUUAUAGCAGUGCUGAUGAUCCUCUGAAAACUAACCAAUCAACUGGUAAUUUUAAUAUCCAAAUUAAAAAUUCUCAUGUCUUUUGUCUCUGUUUAUUUCUAUGUAUAAUUUAUUAAAUUUAUGAUGCUUUUUAUGAUUCAUUUAUUUAUUUGAAAGGAUUAUAGAGAGAAAGACAGACAGAGAGAAAUCUUCCUUACACUGGUUCACUCCCCAAAUAGCUGCAAUGGCCAGGGCUGGGGCAGGCUGAAGGCAGAAGCCAGGAAUUUCAUCCUGUCUUCCUCAAGGGUGGCAGGGGACUAAGCAUUUGGGCCACCUUAUACUGUUUUUCCAGGCACAGUAGCAGGGAGCAAGAUAGGAAGUGGAGCAGCCAGGAUUAGAACCAGUACCCUUAUGUGAUGCAGACAGCAUCUUAACCCACUAUGCCACAAUGACAGCCCCUCAAUUUAUGAUAUAUUACCAAGCAUUAUCAUACUAUGAUGUAUGAAUUCACUAAUUAUUACCCUCAUUCAUCUAUUAAAUAGAACAUUGUUUACAAUAUUGUUGAUAUUGUGCAUGCUCUCUUAGAUACAAAAAUGAGUGGCUAGAUGUCUUAUUACAUGAAGCUUUGGCUCCUGUUGCUCUUUGUUUUGAGAUUUAUUUCUUGUCUUUUUUCUAUAGUAAAUUACCUAGGUUUUUUUUUUUGUUUGUUUGUUUGUUUGUUUGUUUUUGUAGGAGUAAACCCAAGUAUCAUUACUUGCUUAUGUGACUGGGUCUUUCUUAUGUGGUAUAAAUCUAGGACUACUAUUCAAAAACCAAGUGGCUAUAAAUUAAUUUCACUUGUCUGAAGUAUAAAAAGGAAUGAAUGAAUGAGACAGCACAUACUGUUUAGGUGGUUAAUUGCCUGUUAUAUGCUAUAUGAACAAACUGAUAACAAAGCACAUUGAGGUAAGCAAAAUUAACACCAAGGAAAGAGCAAGUACCUCAAAAUCAAAGGACUUGGGAAAGCCUCUCAGGGGAGGAGAUUAGGUUGACCAUGAGAAAACAUGAAAAGUUAGGAAUCAAUUGUUGAAAUAAGAGUGAAAAAUAUAUAAGCAGAGAAAGAGUUUUAAAAUACUUUUCUUGCUAACAUAUUUAGUAAACCAGACUUCAGUAAUUUUAAAUCUGUAUUUCUAAGCAAUUCAUAUGAACCACCAGUGAAUUAACUAAACCUAGGUUAAAUGAAGGGUAGCUCCAUUAAUUGAGAAUGUUAACUCUAUUCCUGAUAGAGCAUAUGUAUACUGAGCUUAGAUAGAAACAUGACAGAUAAAAAUGUGGAAGAUAAAAAAUGAUAGGUAGAUAGAUAGAUAAAUGAACAAUAACACACAGAAAAAUUUUUAAUACAUAUAUAAAUUUUACCUUUAGGAGAUAGAAAUUCAGAAAAGCUAAGGUAGUUGACUAGAUUCCUAGACAGUACAUGACCUCAUGAAGGCUUUUGUUACUUAAAAUAAAUUUCACUAGAAAUAUACUUAUCUAAAUAUU